CCCUUAGAUGUUCUGGGCCGCACGCGCGCUACACUGACGCAUUCAACGAGUCUAAAACCUGGUCUGAUAGGGCUGGGUAAUCUUUUGAAUGUGCGUCGUGAUUGGGAUAAAUGAUUGUAAUUCUUCAUUUUCAACGAGGAAUGCCUAGUAAACGCAAGUCAUCAGCUUGCAUUGAUUACGUCCCUGCCCUUUGUACACACCGCCCGUCGCUCCUACCGAUUGAAUGCUCAGGUGAGCCAUUCGGACCUUCAUCAUGCCGGUUUCCGGUUUUGAUGAGGGAAAGUCUUGCGAACCUUAUCAUUUAGAGGAAGGAGAAGUCGUAACA
rnacentral:rRNA from 1 species